UACGGAGGGUGCGAGCGUUAAUCGGAAUUACUGGCGUAAAGCGCACGCAGGCGGUUUGUUAAGCAAGAUGUGAAAGCCCCGGGCUCAACCUGGGAACUGCAUUUUGAACUGGCAGACUAGAGUCUUGGAGAGGGGGGUGGAAUUCCAGGUGUAGCGGUGAAAUGCGUAGAGAUCUGGAGGAACAUCAGUGGCAAGAGGCCCGCCUGGCCAAAGACUGACGCUCAUGUGCGAAAGUGUGGGUAGCGAACAGGAUUAGACUACCCGGUC
rnacentral:rRNA from 1 species